GAUCAUUAACAAACUCCCGGAGGCCUCCCUUCGUUCGCGAGGGGUGUGCUAUCCCCCGGGUUACGUUUAAACACACUGUGUACCUUUACCUUUGUUGCUUCCCGCCGGGCGUAAAAACUCGACGGGAAGGUCUACCAAACUUCUGUUUUCCAAUGCAGUCAGUAACGGCGUCUAGUACGCUUGAAUAUAAAAGUUAAAACUUUCAACAACGGAUCUCUUGGUUCUCGCAUCGAUGAAGAACGCAGCGAAAUGCGAUAAGUAGUGUGAAUUGCAGAAUUCAGUGAAUCAUCGAAUCUUUGAACGCACAUUGCGCCCUCUGGUAUUCCGGAGGGCAUGCCUGUCCGAGCGUCGUCAAAACCCCUCGGGUCAUUUUCUUGACUCGGUCAUGGCGGAAGACUGCCAUUCUCGGUGGUCCCCGCUUAAAGGAAUCGACGCGGAGAGCUAGGGCCCUCACAGAUAGUAAGAAAUUCGUCUGUCGAAGGCUCGCGCUGUCCAGCCGGCAACCCAUACUUUUCUAGGUUGACCUCGGAUCAGGUAGGGAUACCCGCUGAACUUAAGCAUAUCAAUAAGCGGAGGAAAAGAAACCAACAGGGAUUGCCUUAGUAACUGCGAGUGAAGCGGCAAAAGCUCAGAUUUGAAACCUGUCGUCUUUGGCGAUCGGAUUGUAAUCUGGAGAGUCAUCUUCUGGUGGGCAGCCGGUCCAAGUUCCUUGGAACAGGACGUCAGAGAGGGUGAGAAUCCCGUAUCUGGCCGGCUUGUUCUGCCUUGUGAAGUGACUUCGACGAGUCGAGUUGUUUGGGAAUGCAGCUCAAAAUGGGUGGUAAAUUUCAUCUAAAGCUAAAUAUUGGCGAGAGACCGAUAGCGCACAAGUAGAGUGAUCGAAAGAUGAAAAGCACUUUGAAAAGAGAGUCAAAAAGUACGUGAAAUUGUUGAAAGGGAAGCGCUUGAGACCAGAUUCGGGUUGAGGUGAUCAGCGGUGCUUCUGUGCCGUGCACUUGCCUCUUCUCGGGCCAGCAUCGGUUGUGGCGACGGGAUAAAGACUUGAGGAAUGUGGCUCCUUUCGGGGAGUGUUAUAGCCUCAGGUGUAAUGCCGCCAGCCGCGACCGAGGACCGC
rnacentral:rRNA from 1 species